UUUCUACAUUAAAGGAUCAGAAGAUGAAAGAUCUGGGUUUACUACCCAGAGUCACCUAUCCAGCAAAACUGAGUAUGUUCUUUCAGGGGGAAAUGGACAUUCAAUAAGAUGGAAGGUUUCCAAGCAUUACUGAGGAAUAAACCAGACCUAAACAAAAAAUUUUAAGUCCAAACAUGAGACCCAAGAGAAGCCUAAAAAGCCGCCUGCUUCUGCUUCUGUUCCUGAUCCCAUUCCUGCUGCUGCUGUUGCCGAUUACUGCUGUUGCCGAUUACUGCUGCCACUGCGCCUCAUCUUUAGAACACACAAGCUGGGAAUCCUUGGAGCUCCUCUCUGGAUAGCAGGUAAAGUACAUUGCCAACAGGUGAGUGCUUGCUCAGUGCUUGCCUUAGAAGCCUGGGCGAGUUUCCCUUAGGCCAUAAUUAGCCUCCUUGACUCCCUGUCCUCAUGGCAGAGGAAGCAAGCUGCACCCUUGUGUUUUACCUCAAAGUGAAGGAAGGUUACUCUUCCAAACAGGAAAUAAAAUUGCAAACAUGGCUCA
rnacentral:lncRNA from 1 species